rnacentral:pre_miRNA from 1 species
AUGUAAGGGAAAUUGUCAUUAAGUAUGGAUAAAUUACUUUCAAACUAGAUAUUUUUCCUUUUAAAUCAAGUGUUUUGC